rnacentral:lncRNA from 1 species
GAACAGUCAUCAGUGCCAGAAAACCACAGACAGUAAACCCAAGACCCGCAAAGACCCUCAGUUUCAGAAGGAAAACCACUGUGAAUGACUCAAACUAUUCAACCUUUUCCCAUCGGAAUGAUGCAAAGUGAGCCCACCCUCCAUGGGAGCUGAAGUCCAUCAUCCACAGCAGCCCUCGACAGGCAUCCAUCCUAGUGGAAGACUUGGAAUAUGGACAACAAGAAACAUAGGACGAUCUUACAGCGCUGCUUUCGAAAGGGGGAAAUUGGAAAGAGUCUAAAUGUCCAUUGAUACUAGAUUUCUUAAAUUCACUCUGGCACAUUCAUGCGAUGGAUUUCCAUCAAGCCAUCUUUAUAAGAACAAGGUCAAUUUUUACGUGUGGCAUGGGAAAUUCUCUAAGUACCUGCUCUGCUAGCCGCUACUUUAUACGGCCUCCAGGAACGGAAGACAACUAACAAUUUUGGAGCAACUGAACCAUGACAAGCGUCUUACGUACAUUACCUCAUUUAGUCCAUCUGUCAGCCAAAGCCGUUAUCCCCAGGAAAUUCCUUGCACAUCUCAUCCCUGUUUCUCAGAGGACCCAAAUUGACCC